rnacentral:rRNA from 1 species
AACGAACGCUGGCGGCAUGCCUAACACAUGCAAGUCGAACGAGACCUUCGGGUCUAGUGGCGCACGGGUGCGUAACGCGUGGGAACCUGCCCUUAGGUUCGGAAUAACUCCCCGAAAGGGGUGCUAAUACCGGAUAAUGUCUUCGGACCAAAGAUUUAUCGCCUUUGGAUGGGCCCGCGUUGGAUUAGCUAGUUGGUAGGGUAAAAGCCUACCAAGGCGACGAUCCAUAGCUGGUCUGAGAGGAUGAUCAGCCACACUGGGAGUGAGACACGGCCCAGACUCCUACGGGAGGCAGCAGUGGGGAAUAUUGGAAAAUGGGCGAAAGGCUGAUCCAGCAAUGCCGCGUGAGUGCUGAAGGCCUUAGGGUUGUAAAGCUCUUUUACCCGGGAUGAUAAUGACGGUACCGGGAGAAUAAGCACCGGCUAACUCCGUG